UCAGCCGACGGGCCUCGCGAGUCAGCUCGGCUGGGCUGAUUCACCCCGGUGGAGGGUCCACCACCUUCUACAGCACUCCCACGCACCCCCCACCGCGGGCUGUGCUGGGCAAACGCCAUCAGUACGGGGCAGCUGAUAUAAGAGGUGCGAACUAUCAUCAGGUUCGUGGCGAGGCAGAGAAAUUUAAAACGUCUUCCUGCUCAAUUUAAAGGGCUGGGAAAAAAAGAGUUCUCUGCUAACAAAACCCUCGUCAGCUUUCUGCAGCAAGGGCGUGGGGGUAUUUCCAGGCAGCAUCGGGGGAAAAAGCAAACACGCUGUGUGCAAGACCAAGAGCUCUGGCCUGCAGUUUUCAAAUACCCCUGCAAUUUUCCCAAUCAAGCCAGUGAAACAGGAUUUGGCCUGAUCAGCACUUAAAUGGGAGACACACAUGAAAGCAAUGGCCUGAUUAUCCUUCGUAGCUGGCUGCCUCGGCUGCACCUCGCCCCAUCAGCAGGUAGCUGUAGAUGCCACCUCGGGAGCAGCGUGCAGGGGACAACCAGUCCUGGGGAAGCAGCAGAGGAAACCUCCCUGUGUGCAACUGCAGCCUGGUGCCAUCCCAGCAGGGUGUGGAGAGUCCCCCUCGUCCAGCGGCAUGGCAAGAAAAUGAUUAAAUCCCUAAAUGAAGACCCUGAUGACCUGUCCCAGAUUAUCUCUGCUCAGCGGGUGAAACGCCGCCGCGUGGAGCUGCUGAGCAAACCUCCGCUGGGUUGAACUUCACCACGAUUCCCCCUGCCAAAGGGUAAGUGCUUGUAAAGUCAAACGGAGAAGCUUAAAUAAAUAAACUGCUAUCUAGAUGCGGGGUUAUACAUGUAUAAACACAGAAAGGGGGUUACCCCAUUUGAUUAUCUACAGAGCAGGUGCAGAGAGGAGCCAUCUGCAUCGCUGACGCCCAAGCCUGAUUUUCAAAGGUUUGAUGUCUUUCAGGUUGCAUUUCUGCUUAAGUGUCGCUGGCGAAACUAAUUUACACUAAAUUGUAGGGAACCAGAGGGAUUUUUGUGGGAGCUAGUUCUACAGUGCCUUUCACAGAAGGCAUUUCCAUCUGAAAAGGUAAGGCUUUUCCUCCGCUCCCUCCUCAAACCCCUUUGCCAAACCUUUUCAGUUGCGUCGUGAGGUCUGCAUGUUGCAAAAUUUAACCUUUUCGCGUGUUUUCCUGAGGCUUAGAGCAGAGUGGUUUGUUUUGUUGGCAUCAGGAGGAUGGGAACCAUGUCACGACACUUCAUCCCAUGCUUGAUUCUCCUGUUCUCUUUCCUGCAUUUAUCCGUAUUUCAUAUUUGGAGCUAUAAAUGGACCAUUUCAGAAAAAAAAAUGCGACUAAAACUCAGGGAGAGCACGUAUUUGGCAUCCAUCUCCGACGUGUUAGGUCUGUGCAAAAUCUGCUGCUCUCCUUUGAGGCACCAAGACAACGUCCCCAUUUUCCCUAGCAGCCGGCAAGCACCCACCGAGCACUUCGGAAAUCUGAUCUAUUUUCUUCUGAAAAUCUGACGGAGUGUUUGCAAUACGUGACUGGGAAUGCUUUUGAAAAAAAUCGGUUUAGGCAGCCUUAUUUGCUUUCUGAAAUCGUUUUUAAGCAUCGGUUUUAGGAAAACUAACCGCAACCCUAGCAGAAAGAUUAAUUCAUCUGUUUUCCUAAGGAAAAAUAAUUACUACGCAUCUUUCAAAGCUCACAAGGAGUCGGCAGUAAAACCUUCCCCAGAGCUGUCAUCUGCGACUGCAGAUCUGGCUGGGAUUCUGUAAAAUCAAUCAUUCCUCUUCGCCGGGGCCAGCGAGCGGGAGGAGGCACCUCUGCGCUGGCAUCUGGAGAGUCAAAGCUGCUGCUGAGACUUUCCCUUCGCCCAAUACGUCGAGAGAUGCAGCAUCUGCCGCGGUUUGAAGAUCUUUCUGGCUUUGAAAAAGACCUCACAGGUUUCUUCUAAUUCUCAGCCCACAGCUUCCUACUUGUCAAGAAGUGUUGGACGUUUGGAGCUGUUUGGCCUCUAAACCCAAAGGAAAAUCAAUUCACCGUCAGCCAGGAGAAAGGAGAUUACAGCUCCUCUUUUAGGAGUAUCCAGUAUUGCCAAAGCCAUGAAGACCAAACUCUUCUAGUAGCAAGAAGGCUUUAAAGUCACGGAUCCUAUUCAUCCAUCCCACCCCUACUGCCCGUGUCCAUUGUUGGUGGAUCUUUGUGGUCCCUGUACCUCCAAAACCUUGCUUGGGUGUUGCAGUGAUGGAGCACAGCCCACAUGGGGGCACACACACCCCACCUGAGGCAGCGGCCCCACAUCUUUGACAACGUCCAGGCUGCACGUGCCUGUCCUCAUGCAGUCUUGUGUCUUACUGCCCCUUGGGUGGACCUGCAGGAACUCGAGCAUGUCCCAAAGACCGAUGCUGCUCAUUGCAUCUAAAGCUGUUGAGCAUCCCGAAGGAGGGUGCUGGGAUGUUGGUAAACCACAGCCACAAGUCGCUUUCCCCAAUGCUUUUCCUUCUGCCUCCCCACUCCUGCCUCUGCGAGCAGCAGAGCCUGUGGCACCGUCUCCUUCGUGACUCAACGCCGCUGCAGAUUCUCUCUCCACAUCUCCACUUAGGGUCUGCGAAUGGAAACAAAAAAGCCUCUGAAAGAAACGGUAAGUAAUUUCUAAUGAUCCUUUCCAGGACGUUUUAAAAAAUGAAAAACGCCUCUGCUGUAUCUCUAGUUAACCAAGGUCCUUUGGAGCCAGGAGACUAUUGAAUAUUUUAAGAGCAACGUUAUUUUGCAGCAGCUCAUAGCUAAUGAAUUCCCAAUUCAUAUUUCACAGUAGGUGAAGAAGAAAAGAAAAAUCCAUUUUCAGCACAGCUGUAAUGUAUUUUCCAGUCACUUGUGGAACAGAUUGUGCUCAGACCUGCAGCUUUAACCACUGACACAACUGAGAGGGGGAUGGAGGUGGUGGAGGCUGUGCUCUAGAUGCUCUCCUUCCUCCGGCACAGUGUGGUGUGUCCAGGCUGCUGCAAGUUUUGUUUGUCUUGUGGGUUUUUAUAGCUCAUUUGAGUCCAAAGCAUUUGAGUGCUCACUGCAGUUCAGGUGCUCCACCAUAGGUGUUGGGUGGUUGUUGUUGUGCUGGAGGUGUCUCUGGUGGGCUCCUGGCUCGUGGUCAGCCAAGGAGGGUGCUCCUGCUCUAGGAUUAUCCUUUCCCUGGGGAUAUUGUGGUGCAAAGCUGCCCUUGCCGGUGGCGCACGUGGCUGCCAUGGAUUGGGCUGGCUGAGCCUUGGAUGUGGACACUGCAGGCAGAAGGAGAUGAGCUGGAGCUGGCACCGGCGCAGAAGUCGGGCAUGGCAGGUCAGCUCCUGGCUGCACAGCCUGUCCCAGAGCAAUAUGUCCAAGUAGAUGCCACACAGAUUGAGCUAUUUUGUCCUAUGAGUCCUUUUUUGAGAAAGGUUUUUGAUCAGAAUGGCUAUUAAGGAAUAAUUCCACCUGCGGGCAAGGCCUCGCGCCCAGGCAGAGGGGUUUUCCUGAACUCAGUGGGCUCAGACACGUGUGCCAGAGCUGGGCAUUGAGAGCUGCCUCCUCCAGACCAACAUGAGUGUUCCAACGUGAGUAUUCUAACGCGAGUAUUCCCACCGCCGGGGCUGGGGCCAGGCUGCACACAGGGAACCACAGGAGAGUUCCCUUCUGGCACCGGGCACGGUUUGCUGCUGGCAAAGAAGGUGUUCACCUCUGCCCCAUGGAUCGGCAUUGGGCUUCCUGGCUGGAAGAAGAGCUAAGACAUGCUAAGAGGUAAGACACUAAGAAGUGCAGACAUGUGGGUACUCCUUUCACAGCAUAAAAAACCCCCAGCUAGAGUUUGACUACUUCAGGACCAGGGUCCAUCAUCCACUCUGUGCUCUAAUUGUAUUAAAAUUGUGCAUCUCAGAGGCUGCCAGAGGCUCCAUUUUCAUAUUACUUUGCUGGGCGCUCUCCCCGUUUCUCCCAGUUGUGCUUUUGCUAAGUGCCUGCAAAACAAAUUACAGCAAAUAUUCCCUCAUCAGGGCAAUGCUUCUUAAUUCACGGUGCAUUUUUGUUUGUACAUGUUAAUGCAUCCACCUAAAUUGUGCUGGCGGAGACCUUGAAGGGAGUCACAGAGGUACAACAGUCACUAGGAAUUCUCAUCUGCUGGGCGAUCAACCAUCUUCCAUUCGUCCUGGUCCCUCGGAUUCAGGAUCAAAGGAGAGAGGCACAACCAUCUCUUUCAGUGGUUGAGCACAUAGGUUAGAGAAACGGAUUUAAUACAGCCUGGGUCUAGCGAUGAAACCUGUGUGUGACUGUCCAUGGAGUGCUGCUAUAUCCAGGGGGAUAAGUGGGUAUCACAUAGACCUCUCCAUGCCACUCUUUACCUUCCUGUGAUGGGACCCCACCAGGCUUGGGAAGUUCAUUCAGGGAAAGGGUUAGCCGGCAUAAGUUCGUCACGACGUUUUAAAUAUCCCUACUAUAAACAAACGCUGUUGUUUAACUGCUUCCCAGCACAAAGUCAAGGGGGGGGGUUCUUGGUGCACCUUCCAUGACUCCAGGCAGUUGGAAGCUCCAGGCAUGGAGCUGGACAUGAUGGUGUUUGCUAGACGCGGCUCCUCCUGGAGCUGGCACAGAGUGGCACAUGGGCAAGGGGUCUCUGCUGGUGAGGUGGCAAACAGAGCUGGUGUGUCCUGAUUGCAGCUGUGAGGCUUUUUCAAGGCAUUUAAUUAGUCUGCCAAACAUGACAACAAAACUCCCGUGCCUUAUUCUGGGUGUUUGAGGCUAGUGCACUGUCGGGAUGCUGCCGGCCUGGGACCAGCCUCUACGGAUCACAGUUCUUCCCAUGCCUCCUCUUCAUCUUGAGGAGCCACCUUGGGAAGACUCCCGUGUCUGCUGGGUGCUUAAAACCUUAGGAAAAAUAUUAAUUUCCAAUCAGUGAGAUAAACUGUCCAGGGAAAUAGAUAUGGGAGGAAACCUCCCCGACUUAUGUAAACACUUAACCAAAAUUGAGGAGUUUCCAAGGAAUGUUUUGAUUUUGCUUAAUCAACCAAGAAAUAGUCUGUCAACAAUUCCCUCCAGCUCUUGGUUCUGGAGAUCCAUCGUUUGCUCCUGGGCUGUGCUAACACGCUUCUUCCCAUAAAUGUGGUACUUUGGGGCAGCACCUUCUGCAGAUGAGUUGGAGCAUCCCAUCAGCGUGUUCUCGGUAAGCAUUUUGCUCAGAUCUAGACUACAUCACUCGGGAUGUAGCGCCACCAUAUCUCACCUCUUCCAUGUGAUUCUGGUUUGUAAAGGCUUGGCAUAAAGUAAUUGUGCUUCCGUCUGUGUCAGUCUGGGCUGUCACAGUUAAUAGACCAACAUCCCGUGGUGCGGAUGUCAAUUUGCAUCCUCGCUCUGCUUCUCGCUUGCCUAUUGUUUUCAUUCAGUUGUUAUUUUUGCGUCUGCAGUGAUUCCAAGUGGGAUCUCAUUAAUAGUAGGGUCUUGAAGCAUUUUAGCGUCGAUAUCUGCAGCUGCAGGUGAACACGCCGUGGGAAACACGAGCAUCUUUCUGUGCUCAUCGGCAAGACAUUGUCAGAGCCGUGCGCUUUGCCACCGACACUUAGGAACUGAAAAAGGAGAGAAAUUUUCAUGUACGUUGAUCAAGCCCUGUUUUUUUUAGUACUGAUGACAGCAGUGGCCCAAUCCACCAGUGACCUGAGAAUAACCAAUUUAAUUGUAAUUACACCUGACCAGUGCAGGGAGCUCCCUGGUGCAGGCGUUGUUGUUAUGAAUUUUAUUUUUAUUGCUGGCCGAACCUCUGCUCUUUGUGGUUUCGUUUUGCUGGGCUGAUUUUGGAUCGUUCCCGCACAUUUCCAGCCCACCUUGUGCUUUUGUAGAUUUGAUGGCAGAAGGUGAGAGCAAUUGCGCUCCGCUGGACCCAGGUGUCGCGGUCAGUGUCUCAUCCCCAUCAGUGUCCCAGUGUGAACCGAGAUGACAUUUUGCUGCGGUGGAGUAGCAACACGAGCGAGGACAAAGAGUCCUGGAUCUCAGCCGCUGGUGGGGACAAGCUGGACCAUCGGACCACGGAGGCUGCUUGCCCAUCCAGGCUGGAGCUGGGUGAUUUGGGUCAUCUCCUGCCUGCAGUGGGGUGCCCUGGGCAGGACACGGCUGUGGCUAUUCAGAACAAAAUGUGAUCUUCCCCCUUGAUCUUUCCCCUGUGCAGCAGAGAUGGCGUUUGCCGCUGUGUUUUACACUGUGGAAGCGAGCUCUCCUGUUAUCGCACCCUGACAUGAGCGAUGGAUCAGAUACACCCCAGGAAAAGGUUUAUGAAAAACGAGUGCAGCAUCGCUCAACCUCUGCUCCCAGGUUCAGAUAAACGCUCCUGCAGCGAAUUUCAAAUAGAAAGAUAAACCACGGAGCUGAACCAAAUAUUGGGGUAAAUAAUGAAUUAACAGUCCUUGUUGCCUCGUCCGGAUUGCCCGCUGUAACUCUCCAAGUGCGUUGCUUUGAUGUUAUUUGCUCAAGCGUUUCAGCAACGAACUCUCGCUCCACGGGUUGUUUGCGACCGGUUUGCCAUUAGCUUGCUCGGUUUGCAGGCCAGGCCAAUGGGCAAACUGGGGGGGACCUUAAACGCACCCCAUAUUCACUCGUCCCUCCGUCAGGCCCAUCCUAGUCUGAGAUCAGCACUUGAACUGCAAAAACUCUCAUAUCUUCCCUCUUUCCCCAGGGCAGGAUGAUGGUUCCGGCUGUACCUGCCCUGGAGGACUCAGUUUUUGAGCUCGUAUCCAUAAGUUCCAUUUGCAAAAAUAUCCUGGGGGGGGGGGGCUGGCACACGAAUGCCAUUUGUUUUAAAGGGAAUUAGGCGUCCCAGCUGCUCCUGGGGCUCAGCAAAACUCAGUAUAACGCACAUAAAUAUUCUUAUAAUCAUGACCCUUUCUACUUUGCCACGUACAACACAAGAGACCCAAAGGAAUUAGGCAAGCAGCAGCAGUAACGUCUCCCCUCCCAGGGCAGCCCUGCUAAUGGCAUCGCUUUGUUAAGGAGCUUCAGAGAAGCCCCUCCCAAAAUGUGCUGGAAUAAAAACUGGGUGGUUUUUUUGGCCCGUUUCUGGUUUCAUGGGCUUUACUGAUUUUUUUUUUUUUUUUUGAUCACCGGGCUGAUGUUAGAAACAGGCUCCUGCUAAAGGUGAGCGGAGAAGUUGCAGCUUUGUAUCGCAAACUCUGCAGUUUCGCUCUCCCAACAGAUAACUCUGCACCUGCAAAAACAUCGGUCGCUUUGUGCCGCUUUAUUGUGCUUGGGGGAGAGGAAAAGAGCCCUCCUGGGCUUUCCAGGGUGGGUUUGAAGGUCAGAAGUCAGUGAGAAAACGCAGAUUUCCUCCGCCUGCUAACCUCCAAGUGCAUACGGCUCGUCCCGGAGCCAAGGUGUGGUGCUCAGGAUUGCCACCAAAUACGCAAUUGUACUUCUCUGGCCGCGGUGUGUAAUUAUGGAGAUCCCCUGACCGUGUUUGGAGCCGUGCAGUGUCCCGGCGCUCAUUGCAAGCUCGAACGCGGUGUUGCGCUGUCUGCACCCUGAUGCCGUCACCCCUGUCCUCUGAGAGGCAAUUUCC